GGCUGCGGGAUUCAGGAC
rnacentral:miRNA from 1 species